rnacentral:rRNA from 1 species
GGGAUCAUUACAAGUGACCCCGGUCUAACCACCGGGAUGUUCAUAACCCUUUGUUGUCCGACUCUGUUGCCUCCGGGGCGACCCUGCCUUCGGGCGGGGGCUCCGGGUGGACACUUCAAACUCUUGCGUAACUUUGCAGUCUGAGUAAAUUUAAUUAAUAAAUUAAAACUUUUAACAACGGAUCUCUUGGUUCUGGCAUCGAUGAAGAACGCAGCGAAAUGCGAUAAGUAAUGUGAAUUGCAGAAUUCAGUGAAUCAUCGAAUCUUUGAACGCACAUUGCGCCCCCUGGUAUUCCGGGGGGCAUGCCUGUUCGAGCGUCAUUUCACCACUCAAGCCUCGCUUGGUAUUGGGCAACGCGGUCCGCCGCGUGCCUCAAAUCGACCGGCUGGGUCUUCUGUCCCCUAAGCGUUGUGGAAACUAUUCGCUAAAGGGUGCUCGGGAGGCUACGCCGUAAAACAAACCCAUUUCUAAGGUUGACCUCGGAUCAGGUAGGGAUACCCGCUGAACUUAAGCAUAUCAAUAAGCGGAGGAAAAGAAACCAACAGGGAUUGCCCCAGUAACG